rnacentral:lncRNA from 1 species
GGUCCGACAGCAAGCGGAUGCUCAUAUUGCUAGGAUGUUUUUCACUGCAGGUGUGUAGUUUUGCAUCUGUUCUUUUUAUUCAAGCAUGGUAAAUUUUGCUUACUUUGUUUGCUGCACCAUAUUGUAGGACUUCCAUUCAACCUUGCAAGGAACCCUAACUUCCGGGCAGCCAUUUGAACUAUGUUCCUACCAUUUAUGUAAUGCACUCUUAAAUUUUUAGACUAAGGCCAUUUGAACUAUCUGUUAUGUGGCCACCUGAGCCUUGUAAGCUCCUAUCCGUUAUGCUUUUAGUCAAUUUGUCAUGGUUUGGUUGUGUUUUGCUGUUUGUCAAGUACCAUUUCAGAUUAUUAUGAUCUAUCUCUCUCUCUAAUACUAAUAGACUGCUGUUUGUUGUGUUUUGCAAG